AGCGGAUCCCAGCAAGCCCGGGAUGGCAUAGCUGGGACCUACGGAGAAUAAGAAGGUCGCGGAUCAGGAAAAGGACAGAAGGAGGACUACAUCAAGAAAGUGAAAAGACAACCCACAGCAAUCAAAGAAAAUUUCUGCAAACCACAUACCUGGUUCAAGACUUCAGAGGGAAAAGUAACUUCAGAUGUGGCAGAAAUAGCAAGAGAACUAGAAUUAGAAGUAGAGCCUGAGGAUGUGAUAGAACUGCUGCAAGCUCAUGAUAAAACUUUCAGGGAUGCGGAGUUGCUUCCUAUGGAUGAGCAAAAGUGA